GAAAUGCGAAAAGUAAUGCGAAUUGCAGAAUUCAGCGAGUCAUCGAGUUUUUGAACGCACAUUGCGCCCCUUGGUAUUCCAUGGGGCAUGCCUGUUCGAGCGUCAUUUGUACCCUCAAGCUCUGCUUGGUGUUGGGUGUUUGUCCCGUCUCCGCGCGUGGACUCGCCCCAAAGUGAUUGGCAGCCGGCGUACUGGUCCCGGAGCGCAGCACAUGUCGCGCAAACGAGUGCCUUGGUACGGCGGCGUCCAUAAGCCCCUCUCUCACGCUCUUGACCUCGGAUCAGGUAGGGAUACCCGCUGAACUUAAGC
rnacentral:misc_RNA from 1 species